UAGAGGAAGUAAAAGUCGUAACAAGGUCUCCGUUGGUGAACCAGCGGAGGGAUCAUUACUGAGUUUACGCUCUACAACCCUUUGUGAACAUACCUACAACUGUUGCUUCGGCGGGUAGGGUCUCCGCGACCCUCCCGGCCUCCCGCCUCCGGGCGGGUCGGCGCCCGCCGGAGGAUAACCAAACUCUGAUUUAACGACGUUUCUUCUGAGUGGUACAAGCAAAUAAUCAAAACUUUUAACAACGGAUCUCUUGGUUCUGGCAUCGAUGAAGAACGCAGCGAAAUGCGAUAAGUAAUGUGAAUUGCAGAAUUCAGUGAAUCAUCGAAUCUUUGAACGCACAUUGCGCCCGCCAGCAUUCUGGCGGGCAUGCCUGUUCGAGCGUCAUUUCAACCCUCAAGCUCUGCUUGGUGUUGGGGCCCUACAGCCGAUGUAGGCCCUCAAAGGUAGUGGCGGACCCUCCCGGAGCCUCCUUUGCGUAGUAACUUUACGUCUCGCACUGGGAUCCGGAGGGACUCUUGCCGUAAAACCCCCCAAUUUUCCAAAGGUUGACCUCGGAUCAGGUAGGAAUACCCGCUGAACUUAAGCAUAUCA
rnacentral:rRNA from 1 species